CUGCGGGAGGAGCUUAGUUGGUAGAGUUCUUGCCUAGCAUUCCGGAAGCCUUGGGUUCAGUCCCCAGCCCCACAGG
rnacentral:tRNA from 1 species